rnacentral:rRNA from 1 species
UUAGUGAAUUAGGGCUUUGCCCAACCUUCUCUAUCCAACUCUGUGCAUUAUUGGGGCUUGGUUGCUAUUGGUGACCGGCCCGUCUUAAUACAAAACACUUAGUCUUAGUACGUUUAUAAAACAAAAUAAGAAAAACUUUCAACAACGGAUCUCUUGGCUCUCGCAUCGAUGAAGAACGCAGCGAAAUGUGAUAAGUAAUGUGAAUUGCAGAAUUCAGUGAAUCAUCGAAUCUUUGAACGCACCUUGCGCUCCCUGGCAUUCCGGGGAGCAUGUCUGUUUGAGUGUCAUGAACUCUUCAACUUGCUAUUGGCUAGUCCUUUGGCAAUGUUUGGAUUCUGAGUGCUGCUGGCCGUCAAGGCGUAGCUCACUCGUAAUUGAUUAGCCUCUCAUCCUUGAUCGGAUUGACUCAGUGUAAUAGACUAUUCGCUGAGGACGCAAGCAAUUGCGGCCGAUUAGAGACUGGCUCCUAAUCCCCCAGUCACCUUUAGAUUAGACCUCAGAUCAGGCAGGAUUACCCGCUGAACUUAAGCAUAUCAAUAAGCGGAGGAAAAGAAACUAACAAGGAUUCCCCUAGUAACGGCGAGUGAAGCGGGAAGAGCUCAAAUUUGUAAUCUGGCUAUUUCAUAGUCCGAGUUGUAAUCUCGAGAAGUGUUUUCGGUGUUGGUCUGGAUACAAGUCUGUUGGAAUACAGCGUCAUAGUGGUGAGAACCCAGUUGAUUAUCCAGAAUCCAAUACUAUACGAUACGCUUUCGAAGAGUCGAGUUGUUUGGGAAUGCAGCUCAAAGUGGGUGGUAAAUUCCAUCUAAAGCUAAAUAUUGGCGAGAGACCGAUAGCGAACAAGUACCGUGAGGGAAAGAUGAAAAGCACUUUGGAAAGAGAGUUAACAGUACGUGAAAUUGUUGAAAGGGAAACGCUUCAAGUCAGACUUGCGAAAUGGAGUUCAGCCUUUGGGUGUAUUCUUCAUUAGCAGGCCAGCAUCAGUUUGACGGGGUUGAAAAUCGUUUUGAGAAGGUAGCAGCUUAUGCUGUGUUAUAGCUCUUGACUGGAUCGACUCUGUUGGACUGAGGAACGCAGAUUGCUUUUAGCAGCUCCCUCGGGAGCUUCAAUCUUAGGAUGCUGGUGGAAUGGCUUGAAACGACCCGUCUUGAAACACGGACCAAGGAGUCUAACAUGCUUGCGAGUAUUUGGGUGUCAAACCCGGAUGCGCAAUGAAAGUGAAUGAAGGUGGGAUGCGCAAGCUGCACCAUCGACCGAUCUGGAUCUUCUGAGAUGGAUUUGAGUAAGAGCACGUAUGUUGGGACCCGAAAGAUGGUGAACUAUUCCUGAAUAGGGCGAAGCCAGAGGAAACUCUGGUGGAGGCUCGUAGCGGUUCUGACGUGCAAAUCGAUCGUCAAAUUUGGGUAUAGGGGCGAA